GCCCGUCCGCUGCCCUUUCUCCCUGGUUGGGAAAGUCGUGCUGUUGUUGUUCCCGCGUGCGUUCUGAUGGUUGGCACGAGUUCCCCCGGCGACCGUGUGUGUUAGGUCGGUACCGACACUAGCUUCGCUGGGAUCACAAAGGACCCCCUCCCCCCAGGGACUGGACGAGGCGAGGUUUGUUGCCCUGUCAAGGAUCUUCCUGGGUUCCUCCGAAAGCCCUUGGCCUAAGUGCGAUGGCGCUGACACCAGGGUCCCAUCCCCUCCAGCCUUUUAUUCAGACGAAUUGUGCUUGCUUGUUGUGGGCGCCAAAACAAAACAGGCCUGAGGGGCGCGCUUGAGCCUCUCUGUUGACCCUCAUCGCCUGUAGGGACUGCUUACCCAGAGAAGAUGGGAUUGCGACAGCAGCUGUCCAGGGCCACCCUUGUACGGGAUGGGAGAAAAUACCUACCCUCAAGGCCUUUCCAAGAUGCUUCCAUGCCAGCUCAGCCCUUUGACCCAGCAAUGCCAAGCCAGCUUCCCUCCAGAGUACCUAAGGCAACCGCUAUCCACUCCCACAGUUAUUUUCCAUCUUCAUCAGAUUAACAUGAUUUUGCCCUUAUUCCCUGGGAGAAUAAUGACCUGCUUUAUUAUAGUUAAAAAUCAUAUCUCUGUGUGUGUCAGAAAGAGAUAUUUCCUCAUUCCUGUGAGUUAACCGGGAGGUCUUUUUCGGUUAUGAAAACAGUAUUGUGGUUAUGUUUGUAAGUAUCUUAUGUUUUGUGGAUACAUUGCAGGUUGCUGAAAGACAAAAUAUGAUGAAAGGAACUAGCUUCAAAAUAUUAAAGGGCAGGAGAAGUGAAUGGACUAUGAUUUAACACUUGUAGAAAAGGAAUGGUGGAGCAAUAAUGGAAUCAGAGGCCCAACAUGGUCAAGAUUCGACUUCUCCCAAAACCCAGCACCAUAGUUGGGGAGAAUCUUAGGCGGAAGAUGUCAUCAAGGAGUACUUCAAAAGCAAGAAGUAAAUCAAUAAAAUUCUGACUCCUUU